rnacentral:lncRNA from 1 species
AUGUGUGAUAUUUGCAGAGUUUGUGGCAGCAAAUGGAGUCCAGGUGGAGCUGCACAGAAAAAAACAAGAAAAAUGGCUGCUCACCAGAAACAAGAGAGGAGCAUGGGAGGACAGAUUCAGACACCCCAGGCUCCCAAACCCCCUGUUGUGAAGUGGCAAUGCAUUAUGAAAAAUGAUCUGCUUGAGCUACUAAUGAAGUACCAAAGCAAAAGCAUGAAGGGGCACUGCCAGCUUAAGGAAAAGACUGUUGAAAUGAGAGUCUUUAAGGCCAACAUCAAAAAUCGUAUCUGUUAUGAUUCCCUUGGAAUGGGACCUGUGUGUGAGUGAGAUGCUGGUGCCUGCGGCAUUUCAGG